CACGUAGGGCGCAAGCGUUGUCCGGAAUUACUGGGCGUAAAGGGCGCGUAGGCGGCCUUCUAAGUCGAACGUGAAAUCCCCGGGCUCAACCCGGGAACUGCGUCCGAGACUGAAAGGCUCGAAUCCGGGAGAGGGAUGUGGAAUUCCAGGUGUAGCGGUGAAAUGCGUAGAUAUCUGGAGGAACAUCGGUGGCGAAGGCGGCAUCCUGGACCGGUAUUGACGCUGAGGCGCGAAAGCCAGGGGAGCAAACGGG
rnacentral:rRNA from 1 species